rnacentral:rRNA from 1 species
GACGAACGCUGGCGGCGUGCUUAACACAUGCAAGUCGAACGGAAAGGCCCUGCUUUUGUGGGGUGCUCGAGUGGCGAACGGGUGAGUAACACGUGAGUAACCUGCCCUUGACUUUGGGAUAACUUCAGGAAACUGGGGCUAAUACCGGAUAGGAGCUCCUGCUGCAUGGUGGGGGUUGGAAAGUUUCGGCGGUUGUGGAUGGACUCGCGGCUUAUCAGCUUGUUGGUGGGGUAGUGGCUUACCAAGGCUUUGACGGGUAGCCGGCCUGAGAGGGUGACCGGCCACAUUGGGACUGAGAUACGGCCCAGACUCCUACGGGAGGCAGCAGUGGGGAAUUUUGCACAAUGGGCGGAAGCCUGAUGCAGCAACGCCGCGUGCGGGAUGACGGCCUUCGGGUUGUAAACCGCUUUCGCCUGUGACGAAGCGUGAGUGACGGUAAUGGGUAAAGAAGCACCGGCUAACUACGUG